CCCCCACUAGAUGUGUACUGUACCAUCCCCUAGAUGUGUAGACGAUGAGUCACAAUAACGGGGCUGAAGAUAUAAUGACCAAAUUACACACCAGGAGACGAGGCGUCGACGUUUCGGUCCAGUACGGACCGAAACGUCGUCGUCUCAUGUUCCGUUGUGGGGCUUCAAUCAUGUCUAUUUAGCUUCAGCUUUACCAGAACUUUAUAAAAUAUUUCAUUCACCUUGUUUAACACGUAGAAUCUAUAAACUUUAUAUAUGCCUGAAAGGGAAGAACAUUUAAUUUUUUACUCUCCUGCAGGAGUAUCACGUUGGCCAAAGUUUCUCUGUGAGUGUUGACUAUGCAAGAGUGUCGCGAAGCACAGGAGAGUCAUUAGAAUCUGGGGAGGAUGCUGAAGAUGGCCAAGAUAAUAAUGAUAUUCAGCUCAGUGCCGUCACAAUCUACGGAGGAAUUCUCAUGCAAUAGUUUACAUCUUUGAGAACAAUGCCGUUGAAGACGUUACGAGUAACCUUAACAUACUGGGCGUUUGGUACAUUUGACAAUGUUUGCUGUAUGGCUACAAGUAAGACGAGACAUACGGAACCUGAGACAGACCAGUUGGUCUAGACUGUGUACCUGGAUGACCUCCAAGUCUACGUGCUGUGCUCCUUCCUGCUGGACCUGGAUCCCACCUUAUAAAAUAAAUAUGUACUUUUAGAACCAGUCUUCAUCUAGUAAUUCUUAGUCCAACAUGAUGACCAUAUUGCAAGUUUAAUGCACAUGUACAAGUCUUAAACAUUAAUAAACUCACGUCUGAAAACGUU